rnacentral:lncRNA from 1 species
UUUCUACUUUUUCUGCAAGCUAAAGUGUGUUUUCUGCAAUAUGGCUAAGCUGUUCUUUUUCUUGAUUGCUCUCUUUGUUAUAAGUACAGGUAUACACAUUUAGUUUCCACAACUAAUCUUUUCACUUUUAUUAAUUUGUCUUGACUCAUUUAAAUUUAGAUAGAUCGAGUUCUGAUAUCUACUACGAUGUUCUUUUUAAGGGGAUGUUCUUGUUUUCUUUUAGAAGAUCUCUCAAUUUUCUAGAUUUGAUCCGCAAUGUUUUCUGACAUGAGGGUACUCAGUGGAUCUCUAGUUCUCUACACCACUUUGUUGGAACUUGAGUACCAAAUAAGUUUAGCUCGAAAUGAUCAUGAUAUUAUUGGAUCAAAAUGAUAUUCUGAGCUAGUCAAGAGAAUCAUAUGUAUGUGUUUUCUUUAAGAAAUAUACAUCAACGUUUUAUUUCACAUUUUAUUUUCAAAUAAAUAUUAAAAAUUAAAGAAGAUAUGGGAGCUGGGUUGGGUGAUUGGGUCAUGAAUGAGUUGAGUUAUGACUCGUUAUUUUGCCUAGAAGAACUUUAGAUAGUCAACUAUUCUAUGAUUUAACUCAUUCAAGUUUGUCCUAACCCAUUUAUUAUAUUCUAGAUCUUAUAAUUGUGUGUGGAAGGGACGGAUUAGGGUAGAAGGAUAAUAGGAGCGAGUGCACCAGUGCUAGUAGCUAGGUAGGAGGAAUUUGUUAUCCGUAUAAUUAGUAGCUAUCGUAUUAGUAUCAUUUCAGAAUAUUGUAUCGUCUGUUAUUAAUCUUGUCCAUGGUAGUAUUGGGUGCUGUAAUUUCUAUUGUAUAUUGUUUUUUUUUCCUGUUCCUUGUCUUGAUUCUCUUAGCUUGAGCCGGAGGUCAGUCAGAAACAAUCUGAGGUAGUGGUAUGGACUGCGUACACUUACCCUUCUCAAACCCCACUUGGUGUGAAUAUACCGGGUAUGUUGUUAUUGUAUAUCUUAUAAUUAUGUCUAUAAAAUGCAGUUGAUGAUUUCUCUUGGUCUUCCAAGAUGCAAGUAAUGGCUACAAGAGACUUGGCACUAGAUCAGAACAACAACUAAAAAAUAAAGGGCAGCCACAAGGGUGUAUUGUACGCAGUCUUACCUUGCAUUUCUGCCAUAGGCUAUUUCCAAGGCUUGAACCCGUGACCUCCUGAUCACUUUACCAGUUACUCUAAGGUUCCCUUCAAGUGGAACAACAACUACUUCCAGUAAAAACUGGCUUAGGAAAUUGCUUCAUACUUGGCAAUUCGAACGCAGACUGUGUGCGCAGAGGUUGUUCGUUUUGUUGCGAAUGUAUGCGCUCAUAUGAUCCAUAUACUAAUAAAUAUGAUUAUAAUUGUGACAAACGUCUUUGGAUUGGUGAAGGUUUUUUUGGAACUAUCCUUAAAAAUCAACGUCUUAAGAACAUUAAUUAAUGUUUGUGUGUUCUUAUGUUUGAUGGAAUAAGUGAUAAUGAGGUUUUUGUCUACGGAAAACUUUGAUUAUUCGAGUGUAAUUUGUAAAAGCUAGCAGUUUGGCGUGUGACUGCUUAUCUAUAUGUG